rnacentral:rRNA from 1 species
CCUACGGGCGGCAGCAGUGAGGAAUAUUGGUCAAUGGGCGCGAGUCUGAACCAGCCAAGUAGCGUGAGGGAUGAAGGCCCUAUGGGUUGUAAACUUCUUUUGUAAGGGAAUAAACCGCGGCACGUGUGCUUUUUUGCAUGUACUUUAUGAAUAAGGAUCGGCUAACUCCGUGCCAGCAGCCGCGGUAAUACGGAGGAUCCGAGCGUUAUCCGGAUUUAUUGGGUUUAAAGGGAGCGUAGACGGGGUGUUAAGUCAGUGGUGAAAGUUUGCGGCUCAACCGUAAAAUUGCAAUUGAGACUGGAAGGCGUGAGUACAGUGGAGGCAGGCGGAAGUCGUGGUGUAGCGGUGAAAUGCUUAGAUAUCACGAAGAACCCCGAUUGCGAAGGCAGCCUACCAAACUGUGACUGACACUGAUGCUCGAAAGUGUGGGUAUCAAACAGGAUUAGAUACCCCAGUAGUC